rnacentral:rRNA from 1 species
ACUCCUACGGGAGGCAGCAGUGGGGAAUAUUGCACAAUGGGCGCAAGCCUGAUGCAGCCAUGCCGCGUGUGUGAAGAAGGCCUUCGGGUUGUAAAGCACUUUCAGUCGUGAGGAAGGUAGUGUAGUUAAUAGCUGCAUUAUUUGACGUUAGCGACAGAAGAAGCACCGGCUAACUCCGUGCCAGCAGCCGCGGUAAUACGGAGGGUGCGAGCGUUAAUCGGAAUUACUGGGCGUAAAGCGCAUGCAGGUGGUUUGUUAAGUCAGAUGUGAAAGCCCGGGGCUCAACCUCGGAAUAGCAUUUGAAACUGGCAGACUAGAGUACUGUAGAGGGGGGUAGAAUUUCAGGUGUAGCGGUGAAAUGCGUAGAGAUCUAGAAGGAAUACCGGUGGCGAAGGCGGCCCCCUGGACAGAUACUGACACUCAGAUGCGAAAGCGUGGGGAGCAAACAGGAUUAGAUACCCUGGUAGGAUAGCG